AUCAAUGUAAAUAAGUAGCACAGAGUGGAGGCAUCAGUGUAGUGACUGGCACAGGCUAGAGGCAUCAGUGUAGUAAGUAGCACAGAGUGGAGGCAUCAGUGUAGUGACUGGCACAGGCUAGAGGCAUCAGUGUAGCAGCUGGAAAGAUGAAACUA